AUGACAUCGAAGCAUUCAUCAAAGCUGUCACCAACCACGAACAACACUGUGUCAUCAGCUCAAUGCCUGUUUGAUGUCAUUAAGUACAGUAUAAACAACAGUGGCCCUAGCACGCUUCCUUGUGGUACUCCAAGAUUUACUGACGUUUCUGGCGAGACCGCGCUGUUGUAUUUCGUGACCUGCUUCCGGUUGUCUUGGUAGCUGAUGAACCAUCUCAGCACCGUACCUCGAAUCGCGCUUUUCUGCAGAACACCAAUCAGUUUCUUCCGGUCAAUGGUUUCGAAGGCACGCUUCAAAUCCACGAAUACUGAAAGAACAAUGCUUCCUUCUUCAAUGCACUGCUUCCACUUCAGCAACAGGAGGUUCAGCGCCGAUUCACACGAAUGGUGCCUCCGGAAACCAGAUUGUUCUUUCAGCAGCAUGCCAGUUCGAUCAAUGAACGACAUUAACUGUUCCUUCACGAUUGUCUCCAUUACUUUCUCGUACAGCGGCAGCAUGUUGAUCGGUCUGUGGCCUUCUGGCUUCUUGGAUCUUGGAACUUUUGAGAUGGGAACCACUAAAGUCUUCUUCCAUGCGCCUGGGAAUUCCCCACGUGCAAGUGAUUUGUUCACUAUAUCCAACAGAUCUACUGCAACCACGUCCAGAGCAUCCAUCAUGACCCGUUUUGUGGCAUUUCGAACUCCAGCACAAUCCUUCAGUGACCGAACUGUUUCCUUCAGCUUGCUUAGCGUGAUUGGCUCAAACUUACUCAUCAGUAAAUGUCGUCGGUGGAAUUCCUUCGUGUAUCUCCUCCACACUCCGAACAAAGAAGUUGUUCAAAAGCCUAGCCGUUUCAGCAUCUCCUCGUGGCUUUCCGAACACUAUCUCCGUUGCUGGCUGUCCUCCAGGCUGAAUCAGUGACUUCAAACACCUCCAUAGCUUUUUUGAAUCUCCACCGCAACUCCUGAUUUCACUGUUGAUUGACGAAUUCUUUGAUGUGCGAAUUUGGUUGACGUAUUGAUUUCUGCAAUGUUUGUACGCAUCCCAAUCACUGGCCGCCUUGGUGAUCUUAAACUUCCGUCGUUUAGGUCUACUCGUUCAUCAAUGCGGACGUCGAUGAGACUUCCAACUGCUGCCACCAAACCUGCAUCAAACUCUUUUCCCGCGUCGUCGACUGAAUCCGUAGGUAUCGAACGACUUCGGUUCGAACGAAGAAUUUCCUGCAGUUUCUCUUUAGAGUACCGGCUCCAACUUACCCGGGUCUUGUUGCGUUCAGCCAGCUCCUCCAAGACACGUGCGUUUCCACCCUCCAUGUUUGAAAAAAAAAACGAGGUCUAUCAUCGUGCUGCUGCUCGGUCCAACACGAGUCGGUUCAGAAACCAGUUGUUUCAUUCUCAAUGCCUCCGUGACGUUUCUCAAUUCCCGUGAAAAUCCUGGUUAAAAUCGCCAGCGAAAACAUUUGCCUUUUCGUCUACAAAAACACUCCGAAGCCAUGUUUCCAGACUAUCGAUGAAACUGAUGUCACUGCU